AUGCGGGCGCUGGAGGACGACCUGUUCCCGUCGACCCCCGGCAAGGUGAAGAUCGAGCGGGCGGGCGGCACCAUGAACCGCCAGCUGCACCGCUGCUUCGCUUCGACUAGCACCAUGUUCCUCUGGGCGCUCUUCCUCGUCGCCAUGACCGCUUCCUACCUCAGCUUCCAGUCCUUCGUCGACACCUCCUCCAAGUACUUCGCCGCCUCCUGGGGCGGCCUGCACUGGGAGCGCCAGAUCCGCGCCUCCGCCGCGCCGCGCAGGCCGCCGGGCUCCGCGGCCGGGGCCGGGAUGUCGGUGCUCGUCACGGGCGCCUCCGGGUUCGUCGGCGCGCACUGCUCGCUCGCGCUGCGCAAGCGCGGGGACGGCGUCGUCGGCAUCGACAACUUCAACGCCUACUACGACCCCUCGCUCAAGAAGGCCCGCAAGGCGCUGCUGACCUCCCACGGCGUCUUCGUCGUCGAGGGCGACAUCAACGACGGCCGCCUCCUCGCCAAGCUCUUCGACGUCGUCCCCUUCACGCACGUGCUCCACCUGGCGGCCCAGGCCGGCGUGCGCUACGCCAUGGAGAACCCGGCCUCGUACGUGCACUCCAACGUGGCGGGGCUCGUCACCCUCCUGGAGGCGUGCAAGAACGCCGACCCGCAGCCGGCCAUCGUCUGGGCCUCCUCCUCCUCGGUCUACGGCCUCAACGACAAGGUGCCCUUCUCCGAGUCCCACCGCACGGACCAGCCGGCGUCGCUCUACGCGGCCACCAAGAAGGCCGGCGAGGAGAUCACCCACUCGUACAACCACAUCUACGGGCUCUCCAUCACCGGCCUGCGCUUCUUCACGGUGUACGGGCCCUGGGGGCGGCCGGACAUGGCCUACUUCUCCUUCACCCGCAACAUCCUGCAGGGGAAGCCCAUCACGGUGUACCGGGGCAAGAACCACGUGGACCUCGCCCGCGACUUCACCUACAUCGACGACAUCGUCAAGGGCUGCCUGGGGUCGCUGGACACGGCCGGCGGGAGCACGGGCACCGGCGGCAAGAAGCGCGGGCCGGCGCCGUACCGGAUCUUCAACCUGGGCAACACGUCCCCGGUGACGGUGCCCACCCUGGUGGCCAUCCUGGAGAAGCACCUCCGGGUGAAGGCGAGGAAGCACGUGGUGGAGAUGCCCGGCAACGGCGACGUGCCCUUCACCCACGCCAACAUCUCGCUCGCCCGGCAGCAGCUCGGGUACAAGCCCGCCACCAACCUCGACGCCGGCCUCAAGAAGUUCGUCAAGUGGUACCUCUCCUACUACGGCUACACCCGGGGAUCCAAGAACUUGUGA
rnacentral:rRNA from 1 species